rnacentral:rRNA from 1 species
GACGAACGCUGGCGGCGCGCCUAACACAUGCAAGUCGAACGAGAGAGAGGGAGCUUGCUUCCUCGAUCGAGUGGCGAACGGGUGAGUAACGCGUGAGGAACCUGCCUCAAAGAGGGGGACAACAGUUGGAAACGACUGCUAAUACCGCAUAAGCCCACGGCUCGGCAUCGAGCAGAGGGAAAAGGAGCAAUCCGCUUUGAGAUGGCCUCGCGUCCGAUUAGCUAGUUGGUGAGGUAAUGGCCCACCAAGGCGACGAUCGGUAGCCGGACUGAGAGGUUGAACGGCCACAUUGGGACUGAGACACGGCCCAGACUCCUACGGGAGGCAGCAGUGGGGAAUAUUGCACAAUGGGGGAAACCCUGAUGCAGCGACGCCGCGUGGAGGAAGAAGGUCUUCGGAUUGUAAACUCCUGUUGUUGAGGAAGAUAAUGACGGUACUCAACAAGGAAGUGACGGCUAACUACGUGCCAGCAGCCGCGGUAAAACGUAGGUCACAAGCGUUGUCCGGAAUUACUGGGUGUAAAGGGAGCGCAGGCGGGCGAUCAAGUUGGAAGUGAAAUCCAUGGGCUCAACUCAUGAACUGCUUUCAAAACUGAUUGUCUUGAGUAGUGCAGAGGUAGGCGGAAUUCCCCGGUGUAGCGGUGGAAUGCGUAGAUAUCGGGAGGAACACCAGUGGCGAAGGCGGCCUACUGGGCACCAACUGACGCUGAGGCUCGAAAGUGUGGGUAGCAAACAGGAUUAGAUACCCUGGUAGUCCACACCGUAAACGAUGAUUACUAGGUGUUGGAGGAUUGACCCCUUCAGUGCCGCAGUUAACACAAUAAGUAAUCCACCUGGGGAGUACGACCGCAAGGUUGAAACUCAAAGGAAUUGACGGGGGCCCGCACAAGCAGUGGAGUAUGUGGUUUAAUUCGACGCAACGCGAAGAACCUUACCAAGUCUUGACAUCCUGCGGCGAUGCUAGAAAUAGUAUUUUCCUUCGGGACGCAGAGACAGGUGGUGCAUGGUUGUCGUCAGCUCGUGUCGUGAGAUGUUGGGUUAAGUCCCGCAACGAGCGCAACCCUUAUGGUCAGUUACUACGCAAGAGGACUCUGGCCAGACUGCCGUUGACAAAACGGAGGAAGGUGGGGAUGACGUCAAAUCAUCAUGCCCUUUAUGACUUGGGCUACACACGUACUACAAUGGCGUUAAACAAAGAGAAGCAAGACCGCGAGGUGGAGCAAAACUCAGAAACAACGUCCCAGUUCGGACUGCAGGCUGCAACUCGCCUGCACGAAGUCGGAAUUGCUAGUAAUCGCAGAUCAGCAUGCUGCGGUGAAUACGUUCCCGGGCCU